UACGGAAGGCAGCAGGGGGAAUAUUGCACAAUGGGCGAAAGCCUGAUGCAGCUAUGCCGCGUGUAUGAAGAAGGCCUUAGGGUUGUAAAGUACUUUCAUCGGGGAGGAAAAAACAAAACUAAUAAUUUUAUUUCUUGACGUUACCCGAAAAAGAAGCACCGGCUAACUCCGUGCCAGCAGCCGCGGUAAUACGGAGGGUGCUAGCGUUAAUCAGAAUUACUGGGCGUAAAGAGCACGUAGGUGGUUUUUUUAAGUCAGAUGUGAAAUCCCUGGGCUUUAACCUGGAACUGCAUUUUGAAACUGAAAUACUAGAGUAUCGUAGAGGGAGGUAGAAUUCUAGGUGUAGCGGUGAAAUGCGUAGAUAUCUGGAGGAAUACCUGUGGCGAAAGCGGCCUCCUAAACGAAUACUGACACUGAGGGUGCGAAAGCGUGGGGAGCAAACAGGGAUUAGAUACC
rnacentral:rRNA from 1 species